rnacentral:rRNA from 1 species
GACGAACACUGGCGGCGUGCCUAAUACAUGCAAGUCGAACGGAAAGGUUAUGCCUUUGUGGGCUGCACGAGUGGCGAACGGGUGAGUAACACGUGAGUAACCUGCCCUUGACUGUGGGGUAACUUCAGGAAACUGGGGCUAACACCGGAUAGUAGCUCAUGCUGCUUGUUGGUGGUUGGAAAUUUUCGGCGGUUGGGGAUGGACCCGCGGCUUAUCAGCUUGUUGGUGGGGUAGCUGAUUGGAAAGGUUUCGGCGGGUCGCCGGACUGAGAGGGUGACCGGCCACAUUGGGCCAGGGGUGGGGGCAGGAGUGAUACGGGGGGCAGGGGUGAGGGAUAUUGCACGAUGGGCGGAGGGCGGGAGGAGGGACGCCGGGUGGGGGAGGUCGGCCUUCGGGUUGUAAACCGCUUUCGCCUGGGACGAAGCGUGAGUGACGGUAAUGGAUAAAGAAGCACCGGCUAACUACGUG